UACGUAGGUGGCAAGCGUUGUCCGGAUUUACUGGGCGUAAAGAGCGCGCAGGCGGUUAUUCAAGUCGAAUGUGAAAGCCCCCGGCUUAACUGGGGAGGGUCAUUCGAUACUGUUUAACUUGAAGGCAGGAGAGGGUAGUGGAAUUCCCGGUGUAGUGGUGAAAUGCGUAGAUAUCGGGAGGAACACCAGCGGCGAAGGCGGCAUCCUGGACUGGUCCUGACGCUCAGGAGCGAAAGCGUGGGGAGCGAUCCGG
rnacentral:rRNA from 1 species